rnacentral:rRNA from 1 species
UACGGGGGGGGCAAGCGUUGUUCGGAAUUACUGGGCGUAAAGGGCUCGUAGGUGGCCAACUAAGUCAGACGUGAAAUCCCUCGGCUUAACCGGGGAACUGCGUCUGAUACUGGAUGGCUUGAGUUUGGGAGAGGGAUGCGGAAUUCCAGGUGUAGCGGUGAAAUGCGCAGAUAUCAGGAGGAACACCAAUGGCGAAGGCAGCUCACUGGGACGGUAUUGACGCUGAGACGCGAAAGCGUGGGGAGCAAACAGG